GGCACCUUAGCUCAGUUGGUAGAGCGACGGCCUGAAGAGCCGUGCGUCGUUGGUUCGAUUCCAACAGGUGCCACCA
rnacentral:tRNA from 1 species